AAAAUUUUUCGAAAGAAAAAAAAAAAAAAAAAAAAAAAAAAAAAAAAUCUGUUCUUAUCAGUUUAAUAUCUGAUACGUCCCCCAUCCGGGGACUACAUAUUAAAUGGAUUUUUAGAUCACGGAGCUGGAGCCGGGGCUUGCUCCAUCCACUCCAUGCAUCGGCCUGGUAUUGCAGUGUCUCCAGGAACGGUGUGCUUUCC